AUUGAACGCUGGCGGAAUGCUUUACACAUGCAAGUCGAACGGUAGAGGGGGCAACCCCUCGAGAGUGGCGAACGGGUGAGUAAUAUAUCGGAACGUGCCCAGUCGUGGGGGAUAACGUAGCGAAAGUUACGCUAAUACCGCAUACGAUCUAAGGAUGAAAGCGGGGGAUCGCAAGACCUCGCGCGAUUGGAGCGGCCGAUAUCAGAUUAGGUAGUUGGUGGGGUAAAGGCUCACCAAGCCAACGAUCUGUAGCUGGUCUGAGAGGACGACCAGCCACACUGGAACCUGAGACACGGUCCAGACUCCUACGGGAGGCAG
rnacentral:rRNA from 1 species